rnacentral:rRNA from 1 species
CCGGCGACCGGCGCACGGGUGAGUAACACGUAUGCAACCUGGCCGUGACAGAUGGAUAACCGGGAGAAAUCCCGCCUAAUACAACAUAAUGCCGGGAGGGGACAUCCCCUGCCGGCCAAAGGGGCGACCCCGGUCACGGAUGGGCAUGCGGCGCAUUAGGUAGUUGGUGGGGCAACGGCCCACCAAGCCGACGAUGCGUAGGGGUUCUGAGAGGAAGGUCCCCCACAUUGGAACUGAGACACGGUCCAAACUCCUACGGGAGGCAGCAG